rnacentral:rRNA from 1 species
AACGAACGCUGGCGGCAGGCCUAAUACAUGCAAGUCGAGCGGAAUGAUGAAGAAACUUGCUUCUUCUGAUUUUAGCGGCGGACGGGUGAGUAACACGUGGGCAACCUACCUUGUAGAUUGGGAUAACUCCGGGAAACCGGGGCUAAUACCGAAUAAUCCAUUUUGCUUCAUGGCGAGAUGUUGAAAGACGGUUUCGGCUGUCACUACAAGAUGGGCCCGCGGCGCAUUAGCUAGUUGGUAGGGUAAUGGCCUACCAAGGCGACGAUGCGUAGCCGACCUGAGAGGGUGAUCGGCCACACUGGGACUGAGACACGGCCCAGACUCCUACGGGAGGCAGCAGUAGGGAAUCUUCCACAAUGGACGAAAGUCUGAUGGAGCAACGCCGCGUGAGUGAAGAAGGUUUUCGGAUCGUAAAACUCUGUUGUAAGGGAAGAACACGUACGAGAGUAACUGCUCGUACCUUGACGGUACCUUAUUAGAAAGCCACGGCUAACUACGUG